rnacentral:rRNA from 1 species
CCUACGGGAGGCAGCAGUGGGGAAUAUUGGGCAAUGGGCGCAAGCCUGACCCAGCAACGCCGCGUGAAGGAAGAAGGCUUUCGGGUUGUAAACUUCUUUUCUCAGGGACGAAGCAAGUGACGGUACCUGAUGAAUAAGCCACGGCUAACUACGUGCCAGCAGCCGCGGUAAUACGUAGGUGGCAAGCGUUAUCCGGAUUUACUGGGUGUAAAGGGCGUGUAGGUGGGAAAGCAAGUCAGAUGUGAAAACCAUGGGCUCAACCUGUGGCCUGCAUUUGAAACUGUUUUUCUUGAGUACUGGAGAGGCAGACGGAAUUCGUAGUGUAGCGGUGAAAUGCGUAGAUAUUAGGAGGAACACCAGUGGCGAAGGCAGUCUGCUGGACAGCAACUGACGCUGAGGCGCGAAAGCGUGGGGAGCAAACAGGAUUAGAUACCCCUGUAGUC